rnacentral:rRNA from 1 species
CCUACGGGGGGCUGCAGUGGGGAAUAUUGCACAAUGGGGGAAACCCUGAUGCAGCGACGCCGCGUGAGUGAAGAAGUAUUUCGGUAUGUAAAGCUCUAUCAGCAGGGAAGAUAAUGACGGUACCUGACUAAGAAGCCCCGGCUAACUACGUGCCAGCAGCCGCGGUAAUACGUAGGGGGCAAGCGUUAUCCGGAUUUACUGGGUGUAAAGGGAGCGUAGGUGGCAGGGCAAGUCAGCGGUAAAAUUGAGAGGCUCAACCGCGCCCCGCAGUUGAAACUGGACGCCUUGAGUUCACAACAGGCAGGCGGAAUUCGUGGUGUAGCGGUGAAAUGCAUAGAUAUCACGAGGAACCCCGAUUGCGAAGGCAGCCUGCCGGGGUGCGACUGACGCUGAGGCUCGAAGGUGCGGGUAUCAAACAGGAUUAGAUACCCUUGUAGUC